rnacentral:rRNA from 1 species
AUGCUUAACACAUGCAAGUCGAACGGAAACGAGAAAUAGCUUGCUAUUUCGGCGUCGAGCGGCGGACGGGUGAGUAAUGCUUGGGAAUAUGCCUUUGAGUGGGGGACAACAGUUGGAAACGACUGCUAAUACCGCAUAACGUCUACGGACCAAAGGGGGGGAUGCUUCGGCACCUCUCGCUCAUAGAUUAGCCCAAGUGAGAUUAGCUAGUUGGUAAGGUAAGAGCUUACCAAGGCGACGAUCUCUAGCUGGUUUGAGAGGAUGAUCAGCCACACUGGGACUGAGACACGGCCCAGACUCCUACGGGAGGCAGCAGUGGGGAAUAUUGCACAAUGGGGGAAACCCUGAUGCAGCCAUGCCGCGUGUGCGAAGAAGGCCUUCGGGUUGUAAAGCACUUUCAGCGAGGAGGAAAGGAAGUAGGAUAAUACCCUGCUUCUGUGACGUUACUCGCAGAAGAAGCACCGGCUAACUUCGUGCCAGCAGCCGCGGUAAUACGAGGGGUGCAAGCGUUAAUCGGAAUUACUGGGCGUAAAGCGUGCGUAGGCGGUUUGUUAAGCAAGAUGUGAAAGCCCCGGGCUCAACCUGGGAACUGCAUUUUGAACUGGCAGGCUAGAGUACUGUAGAGGGUGGUGGAAUUUCCAGUGUAGCGGUGAAAUGCGUAGAGAUCGGAAGGAACACCAGUGG